AGUUCUCUGGGGUGUACGUCAGUUGCCGAUGUCCCUCGAGCUUAUAAGCUAUUCCCAGGGAGUCCACUGUGCAGCACUGUGUGCAUGUCCGUGCGUCGGAACGCCUAAUGUACUGCGCGGGACUACCCACCUUGAACCGCUAGGUUCAGGGCCCCCGGUAACAACGGCAUCUUGGAGAACCC
rnacentral:other from 1 species